rnacentral:rRNA from 1 species
AAUGAACGCUGGCGGUAGGCCUAACACAUGCAAGUCGAACGGCAGCACCGUAAGAGCUUGCUCUUACGGGUGGCGAGUGGCGGACGGGUGAGUAAUACAUCGGAUUCUUCUUUUUCGUGGGUGAUAACGUAGGAAAACUUCCGCUAAUACCGCAUACUUCCUACUGGUGUGAGCAGGCGAUCUUCGAACCUUUCGCGAUUGUAUGAGCCGAUGUCGGCUUAGCUAGUUGGCGGGGUAAAGGCCCACCAAGGCGACGAUCCGUAGCUGGUCUGAGAGGAUGAUCAGACACACUGGAACUGAGACACGGUACAGACUCCGACGGGAGGAAGCAGUGGGGAAUAUUAGACAAUGGGCGAAAGCCUGAUACAGCAAUACCGCGUGAGUGAAGAAGGACUUCGGGUUGGAAAGCCCUGUUGUUGGGAAAGAAAAGAAGCAGGUUAAUACGCGGCUGUUCUGACGGUACCGAAAGAAUAAGCACCGGCUAACUUCGUG